AGCGGAACGUCCUGCUGUUAGAACAUUUGUAAAACAUUAGUUGAUUAAUUGUUAUUUCUAAAGAGACUUAAUAAGGGGAGGAGGUUUUUAAGCUUCCUCCUGGUUUAUUUGUUUUUUUUGGUUCCAGGGAUCAAACUCAGGACCUUGUGCUGCACCGGAACCACUGAGCUAAAUCCCUGGCCAAGCUUCCUCCUUCUGAGUUCAUCUAAAGGGCAGGCAGGCCAGCGGAAUUGUGCUUACAGCCUCAAGAUUCAUUAGCAAAUUCUGUGAUUUGGAAUGUGUAUCAUGUGCUAGGCACUAAUAUCCCAUCUUCACGGGGGAAGAAAACACAGAAAAAAGGGCACUUGCAGAGGACAGUAAUAUUGACUAUGCC
rnacentral:lncRNA from 1 species